GCAAGUCGAACGGUAACAGGGACUUCGGUCCGCUGACGAGUGGCGAACGGGUGCGUAACACGUGGAUGACCUGUCUCAAGGCGGGGGAUAACGACUGGAAACAGUUGCUAAUACCGCAUGAGCUCUACGGAGGAAAGGCUUCGGCCACCUUGAGAGGGGUCCGCGUCGGAUUAGCUAGUUGGUGAGGUAAUGGCUCACCAAGGCAACGAUCCGUAGCUGGUCUGAGAGGACGACC
rnacentral:rRNA from 1 species